GUGCACGCUGGCGGUAGGCCUAACCCCUGCAAGUCGUACGGCAGCACAGUAAGAGCUUGCUCUUACGGGUGGCGAGUGGCGGACGGGUGAGGAAUACAUCGGAAUCUACUUUUUCGUGGGGGAUAACGUAGGGAAACUUACGCUAAUACCGCAUACGACCUACGGGUGAAAGCAGGGGAUCUUCGGACCUUGCGCGAUUGAAUGAGCCGAUGUCGGAUUAGCUAGUUGGCGGGGUAAAGGCCCACCAAGGCGACGAUCCGUAGCUGGUCUGAGAGGAUGAUCAGCCACACUGGAACUGAGACACGGUCCAGACUCCUACGGGAGGCAGCAGUGGGGAAUAUUGGACAAUGGGCGCAGGCCUGAUCCAGCCAUACCGCGUGGGUGAAGAAGGCCUUCGGGUUGUAAAGCCCUUUUGUUGGGAAAGAAAAGCAGCAGGUUAAUACCCCGCUGUUCUGACGGUACCCAAAGAAUAAGCACCGGCUAACUUCGUG
rnacentral:rRNA from 1 species